rnacentral:rRNA from 1 species
GAUGAACGCUGACAGAAUGCUUAACACAUGCAGGUCAACUUGAAUUUGGGUUUUUACCUUAGGUUUGGGUGGCGGACGGGUGAGUAACGCGUAAAGAACUUGCCUCACAGCUAGGGACAACAUUUGGAAACGAAUGCUAAUACCUAAUAUUAUGAUAAUAGGGCAUCCUAUAAUUAUGAAAGCUAUAAGCGCUGUGAGAGAGCUUUGCGUCCCAUUAGCUAGUUGGAGAGGUAACGGCUCACCAAGGCGAUGAUGGGUAGCCGGCCUGAGAGGGUGAUCGGCCACAAGGGGACUGAGACACGGCCCUUACUCCUACGGGAGGCAGCGGUGGGGAAUAUUGGACAAUGGACCGAGAGUCUGAUCCAGCAAUUCUGUGUGCACGAUGAAGUUUUUCGGAAUGUAAAGUGCUUUCAGUUGGGAAGAAGCAAAUGACGGUACCAACAGAAGAAGUGACGGCUAAAUACGUG